UAAUAUAUUUGUGGUAAAUUCUAAUCUAGUUGUGGCAGCUCCAUACCUAACUGCAUCAUAAUCCUUAUAUGUAGCACCAGCUAUAUUUUUUAGCCGAUAAUGUGUAUU
rfam:Populus trichocarpa scaffold_12_contig_2, whole genome shotgun sequence.